rnacentral:rRNA from 1 species
CAGUAGCCACGGUAAUACGUAGGUGGCAAGCGUUGUCCGGAAUUAUUGGGCGUAAAGGGCUCGCAGGCGGUUUCUUAGGUCUGAUGUGAAAGCCCCCGGCUCAACCGGGGAGGGUCAUUGGAAACUGGGAAACUUGAGUGCAGAAGAGGAGAGUGGAAUUCCACGUGUAGCGGUGAAAUGCGUAGAGAUGUGGAGGAACACCAGUGGCGAAGGCGACUCUCUGGUCUGUAACUGACGCUGAGGAGCGAAAGCGUGGGGAGCGAACAGGAUUAGAUACCCCCGUAGUCCCUGUCUCUUAUAC